CAGCGCGGCGGCGAGGACCGCGGCGCCCAGAGCCCGGGCCGCCCGCGGAGCGACAGCCGAGCCCGGUCCCAGCAGGAGCCGAGCCCCACCCGAGCCGAACCGGGCCCGGCGCGCCAGGUGCCCGCAGCCAUGCUGGCCGGCCGCGCCGCGCGCACCUGUGCGCUCCUCGCCUUCUGCCUCCUGGGCACUGGGGCCCAGGAUUUCGGGCCGACGCGCUUCAUCUGCACCUCGGUGCCCGUGGACGCUGACAUGUGCGCCGCUUCCGUGGCCGCUGGCGGCGCGGAGGAGCUCCGGAGCAACGUGCUGCAGCUCCGGGAAACCGUGCUGCAGCAGAAGGAGACCAUCCUCAGCCAGAAGGAGACCAUCCGCGAGCUGACCACCAAGCUGGGCCGCUGUGAGAGUCAGAGCACCCUGGACGCGGGUCCCGGAGAGACCAGGACAGGCGGCGGCCGCAAGCAGCUCGGCUCUGGCUCCGGCAAGAACACCAUGGGCGACCUGUCCCGGACACCGGCUGCGGAGACACUCAGCCAACUCGGGCAAACUUUGCAGUCGCUCAAAACCCGCCUGGAGAACCUCGAGCAGUACAGCCGCCUCAAUUCCUCUAGCCAGACCAACAGCCUCAAGGAUCUGCUGCAGAGCAAGAUCGAUGACCUGGAGCGGCAGGUGCUGUCUCGGGUGAACACGCUGGAGGAGGGCAAGGGGGGGCCCAAGAACGACACCGAGGAAAGGAUCAAGAUCGAGAGCGCUCUGACCUCCCUGCACCAGCGCAUCAGCGAGUUGGAGAAAGGUCAGAAAGACAACCGCCCAGGAGACAAAUUCCAACUCACAUUCCCGUUGCGAACCAACUACAUGUAUGCCAAGGUGCGGAAGAGCCUUCCGGAGAUGUAUGCCUUCACUGUGUGCAUGUGGCUCAAGUCCAGUGCAGCACCAGGCGUGGGCACACCCUUCUCCUAUGCUGUGCCUGGCCAGGCCAAUGAACUGGUCCUCAUCGAGUGGGGCAACAACCCCAUGGAAAUCCUCAUUAACGACAAGGUGGCCAAGCUCCCCUUUGUGAUCAAUGAUGGAAAGUGGCACCACAUCUGUGUCACCUGGACCACCAGGGAUGGGGUCUGGGAAGCCUACCAGGAUGGCACCCAGGGUGGCAACGGCGAGAACCUGGCUCCCUACCACCCCAUCAAGCCGCAGGGUGUGCUGGUGCUGGGCCAGGAACAGGACACUCUGGGUGGUGGAUUUGACGCCACCCAAGCAUUUGUAGGUGAGCUGGCCCAUUUCAACAUCUGGGACCGCAAGCUGACCCCAGGGGAAGUGUACAACUUGGCCACCUGCAGCGCCAAGGCCCUCUCUGGCAACGUCAUUGCCUGGGCAGAAUCCCAAAUUGAGAUCUACGGUGGAGCCACCAAGUGGACAUUUGAGGCCUGUCGCCAGAUCAACUGACAGCUUCCAGCCAGGGCUGAGCCCCAGGUCCCACACCCGCCCACCCUGCUUGUGUGGUGAUGAUCCAUCGUCUCUUCUUUCCCGUUCCCAGGAAUGAAUCAAGGCCACGGCCCCUGCACACACAUGCACACACAGCCUGGUUUUAUCCUCAUGCACACGAAGCAGUCCUGGCUCUCCUCUGUCCCUGAUGAUACCCCACUUCUUCCUGGGAGUCCCGACUGUUUCCCAGGCCUGCCCUGACCACAGCUGAGCAGGUAGCAGUGAUGUUCUGAACAGUGCAGGGAAGAGAGAGAGAGAGAGAGAGAGAGAGAGAGAGAGAGAGAGAACGUUAUGCACGUGUGUGUGAACUUGAAUAUGUGGCUGGGUGAAGCUUUUCUUUUAGAAUGAGGUAUUUCAUUUCCUCCAUUCUUUGUGGCUUUGGGGAAUCUCAGAAUGGGUCUGAAGUCUGUUUGCCAACUUCAGCCUCUGCCUGUGUGCAGCUCCUUCAGCACAGCAUUUGUCUUCCUUCACAGACCUCUUUCAGAGCCACACAGCUCUCUAUUGACAUCCUAAAUGUCUUUCAGUGGUUUGCUAAGGCUGGGUGGACUUCCCACGGAGGACUUUUAUUUGGCACUAGGGGUGUGUGCUCUGAAGGUUGAGGCUAGCUGUGCUGGGACGAGACACCUGCUAGCUCCCACGCACCUGCUGCAGUGGAGGCAGCUUGGGCCUGGGGACAGCCUACAGAUGUUCUCAGUGGCUCUGUCCCAUCGUUUUAGCCAGCUUCUGAGACAUGUCACACCCUUGUAGCCACUGGUGCUGCCUCUGGCAGUGGGAGACCAGAGGCUUCCAGCAGGGGCCUUCUGGAUGAGGGACCCAUGUGCUGAUUGAGACCCAGCUGCAAAGGCCCUGGGGAACUUCACCUAGCCAUUCCAUGGGAAGGGUAUCCCCAUGGCACUUAUGACAGCCAUAUUCCUCCCAUAUCCCCAGACCCUAGGUGGCCAGGGCUGGCAAACUCCUCCUGUGGAGCCAGGCUUGGCCAGAAUAGGACCUGCUACCCCUCCUCUGGCUCAUGGGCCUUCUGCCUUGCAGCAGCCCCAAACCUGCCACUGGUCCAUGACACUGAUUUGUGUCCAGAAUCUUUGGCUUCUUUUCUCCUUGUGAAAAGCAGCAUGAAUAUUUUCUUCUAGUCUCUUGGAAGAGGGGAGAAAAAGCUGUGUGUGUGUGUGUGUGUGUGUGUGUGUGUGUGUGUGUGUUCACUUCAGAAGUCAUGAGUGUGAACAUUUCAGAAGUCAUGACCAGGAUAAGGUGAGCCCCUGCUUUGUCCUGGAUCUGCCGGGUACACUGAGGACACCCUGGACCCUCUGCCCAGGAGUCUGGCUUGGGAAAGGCUGGCAAGUCUUUCUAGAAAUCCUUUGUGCUGCUGGCUCGUCUGCAGCUGCAGACACCUCUUCAGAGACAGGUUGUGUACCUGCUGUUCCUUACAGGGGCAUCUGUCUCCUCCAGUGCAGGUCCAUGGUGUGUCGGAAACCUAGUGCAUCUGUGUGUGUCUGUGUCGGUGUCUCUGUGUCGCUGUACUCGUGGGUGUCUGCACGGUACAGGUCGCCACUCUGCAAUGCAUCACUCUUGCGAGGGGGUGCGGAUGUGGCACCAUGCUGCGUGUCGUCGUUCAACAGUGGCUUUUUCUUAGGUAAUUGUGCUUCCUCAGUGCCGUCGGGUUGUGGCAUCCUUGGAUCUGCAGGGAUUUUCUCUCUGUUUGCAUGUUCCUUGGGGUGGCGUGUUCCUUGCUCCCUAGUCCAACGUGUGUUCCCCUGCCUGCAUGGACUUUUCCAGUUCUAUGUUGUGUGCCGAGUGCCACCCAGUGUUCUGUGACCACCCAUGUAGCUACCGAAAAUGUCUGGGUAAGCAAGCCAGGGGUGUUGGAGGGGGUUGAGAGAGAGGCCAGCGUCCUUCUCCCCCUCCCCACUCCCCAAACACACCAAGAAACAUCUCAAACAUGUAGGUUGAGAACAAGCCCCAGUGAUACCGUGGUUGGGAGAGAGUGAGAGAGCUUGGAAUCACUUUUCCAGACUGGGUUGAGCCCCACCCAUGUGGGAGCCAUUCUUGGCUCAGCCCAGAGCGCCUGUGCCCAGUGCGCUCCUGCUGGCACCUGCCACCAGCCCCUGCCCCUGCCGAUAUGGACCCCAGACCACCACCACUGCCAGGUGGGAAGGUGGGAGCUGUCCGUUCAGGACCACAAGCCAUCCUCUGCCCUAGAGAGAGGGCAGAGCACACCCCGGAUGCUUAUGCCUAUGACCCUGACCCUCCAGCUUCCUGGCUCGUUCCCCUUCCCCUUCCUUCCACUGCCCCCUGGUGCACCUGUGGUGCUCGGGACAGAAGCUGACAUUUAGCUCCCACCCCACCCCUAACUGGAGUUGGUGCCAAGCCCCUCAACUCCCUCACUGUGUUCAUACUUGGCACUUUGCUGGCCCCAAGAAAGGUAGAUGACAGAGCAGCAAAUCUAAUCCACAUAGUUCCCAUUGACUCCUUAAUCUGAUUGAUGUUCCCUCUUGCACUGAAUAAUACAUGCCUCUCUCAGGUAAGCCAUUUUAUAAAAUAAGAAGAUAAAAAAGCACUGUCAAGACAGUGUUUGCUUUUGCCGAGCUGGUGUCCGACAGCUCCCUGGGGGUCCAGGGUGGGAGAGCUGCCACGGAGGCUCCCCAGACCCUGGGGGGCUUAGAUCCCACUUGAAUCGUAAAGCCUUCUUGCUUUUGAUAACACAGUAUUAUUUCUCUUACUGUAGAAGAAAAAGUUUAUUACCAAACAAGAGUAUUUUUAUGAAAGAAUAGGACAAACCUAUAAAUUAUCUCAACCUAUAUCUCCCUUGAAAACACUUUCAGGCUCCACCAAAAUAUAGGACUGAAAGCGUGUAUUUUGGAAGAAAGAGAUACAUUUUGUAUGCUUUCUUUUCCUUUUGUAGAUUCCCAGUUUAUUUUCUAAUACCACAAAGAUCACUUUGUCACCAGCCCUGGGACCUGAGACCAAGGGGGUGUCUUGUGGGCAGUAAGGGGGAGGGGAGAGGCUGGCAUGAGGUUUGCAGUCUGUCCAGCAAGGGACCAGGAGGCCAGAGAGGCCGCUCUGGGUGGGCCCUUUGUCUGGGAGCUGAUUGGUGAAGUGGAAUGGGUUGAGGAUCUGAGCAUCAGUGCCAACCUGGAUAGAAGCAGCGAGGCUAAGAAGACCAAGGCCUUAGUGUUCUUAUGGCCACCAGUGUGUGGCUUGAAGGAGUCAUGGUUUUGUCUCUUCAAACACAGCAUGUAAAUUUAUUCCGCCAGUGGUGGGAAACACAUCGCUCUUGUGCACAGUGGGCUGAAGUAUGAUUUAUUAAAAGGGAACAUGUCAUUGAGGAGAAAAAAAAGCCCAAUACUUAGAGUCCCAAUUUUGUCUUAUUUGCCAAAAAAAAGAGCAAACCCCCUAAAGUUGAUAUUGUUAUAAUGUAUAUACUGUAAAAUAUGAAAGAGAAUCGAUGUACCUUACUUUUUCAUUAUUUGCUAACCAAAGCUGUACAUUUUUCAUACAAUCUGCAGCCUUUUGGGUAUCAAAUGGGUCAAAACCAUGGGACCUGCCACCUCCCAUCAGCAAUUCUGGAAAUGCACUAUUUCUACUGGUAUUCUUGCUUUCCUUUUUCUUUUUUCAUUUUCUUGCUGAAAUGACAUGAAUUGUUGAGUUUAUUUUUACACAGUAAAGAGUGAAGAAAGAC